AGCGAACGCUGGCGGCAGGCCUAACACAUGCAAGUCGAACGAACCUUUCGGGGUUAGUGGCGGACGGGUGAGUAACACGUGGGAACGUGCCUUUAGGCUCGGAAUUACUCAGGGAAACUUGUGCUAAUACCGAAUGUGCCCUUCGGGGGAAAGAUUUAUCGUCUUUAGAGCGGCCCGCGUCCGAUUAGCUAGGUGGUUGAGGUAAUGGCUCACCAAGGCGACGUACAGUAGCUGGUCAGAGAGGAUGAGCAGACACAUUUGGACUGAGACACGGCCCAAACUCCUACGGGAGGCAGCAGUGGCGAAUCUUGCGAAAUGGGCGAAAGGCUGACGCAGCCAUGCCGCGUGAAUGAUGAAGGUCUUAGAGUAGUAAAAUUCUUUCACCGGGGACGAUAAUGACGGUACCCAGAGAAGAAGCCCCGGCUAACUUCGUG
rnacentral:rRNA from 1 species